UACGAAGGGGCUAGCGUUGCUCGGAAUCACUGGGCUUAAAGGGCGCGUAGGCGGGCUGUCAAGUCUGGGGUGAAAUCCCGCGGCUCAACCGUGGAACUGCCUCAGAUACUGACGGUCUCGAGGGAGGUAGGGGCGAGCGGAACUGAUGGUGGAGCGGUGAAAUGCGUUGAUAUCAUCAGGAACUCCGGUGGCGAAGGCGGCUCGCUGGACCUCUUCUGACGCUGAGGCGCGAAAGCCAGGGGAGCAAACGGG
rnacentral:rRNA from 1 species